UUAUGUCUACAUAUACGUAUACGAAAAGAUGAAAAAAGAAUCGAUCAACAGAUUUCGCUCUGAAAUGGUUCUCGGAUAUUUGUCAUAUUUGACGAAGCACAUUUAACAAGAAACAAGACAUCGGUGUACCUGUUAUCGACUUUUUUCCGGGGACAGAGAUGGAAAUACAGUUUUUGGUGUGUAAACUACUAAGUUGUUGUUGAGCAGUAUCUCAUGGCAAAUACCUGUUCUUCUAUUACAUACAAAAUGGUGUUGCACUGUCGAUAACCACGUGACAAUCAAGAAUGACAAUUAAAAGAAUGUCACCAGCUCCAGCAAACAAACAGAGCAGCAUUGAACGAAAGCGUAGGCGUUUAUCGUUGCUGGCAAUAUUUCAAGAGUGCAGAGCUAGGGAAACGCAGCGAGUAGGCCAAGUGAGCUCGAACUCGCUUCUUCG